GACGAACGCUGGCGGCGUGCCUAAUACAUGCAAGUCGAGCGGAUCUUCAUUAGCUUGCUUUUGAAGAUCAGCGGCGGACGGGUGAGUAACACGUGGGCAACCUGCCUGUAAGACUGGGAUAACUUCGGGAAACCGGAGCUAAUACCGGAUAAUCCUUUUCCUCUCAUGAGGAAAAGCUGAAAGACGGUUUCGGCUGUCACUUACAGAUGGGCCCGCGGCGCAUUAGCUGGUUGGUGAGGUAACGGCUCACCAAGGCGACGAUGCGUAGCCGACCUGAGAGGGUGAUCGGCCACACUGGGACUGAGACACGGCCCAGACUCCUACGGGAGGCAGCAGUAGGGAAUCUUCCGCAAUGGACGAAAGUCUGACGGAGCAACGCCGCGUGAGCGAUGAAGGCCUUCGGGUCGUAAAGCUCUGUUGUCAGGGAAGAACAAGUAUCGGAGUAACUGCCGGUACCUUGACGGUACCUGACCAGAAAGCCACGGCUAACUACGUGCCAGCAGCCGCGGUAAAAC
rnacentral:rRNA from 1 species